rnacentral:rRNA from 1 species
AUUGAACGCUGGCGGCAUGCCUUACACAUGCAAGUCGAACGGUAACGCGGGGCAACCUGGCGACGAGUGGCGAACGGGUGAGUAAUGCAUCGGAACGUGCCCAGUUGUGGGGGAUAACUGCUCGAAAGAGCAGCUAAUACCGCAUACGACCUGAGGGUGAAAGCGGGGGAUCGCAAGCCCUCGCGCAAUUGGAGCGGCCGAUGUCGGAUUAGCUAGUUGGUGGGGUAAAGGCCCACCAAGGCGACGAUCCGUAGCUGGUCCGAGAGGACGACCAGCCACACUGGGACUGAGACACGGCCCAGACUCCUACGGGAGGCAGCAGUGGGGAAUUUUGGACAAUGGACGCAAGUCUGAUCCAGCCAUGCCGCGUGCGGGAAGAAGGCCUUCGGGUUGUAAACCGCUUUUGUCAGGGAAGAAAUCUUCUGGGUUAGUACCUCGGGAGGAUGAAGGUACCUGAAGAAUAAGCACCGGCUAACUACGUGCCAGCCGCCGCGGUAAUAC